GACGAACACUGGCGGCGUGCCUAAUACAUGCAAGUCGACCUUAGUGGCGAACGGGUGAGUAACCCGUGGUUAACCUGCCCAACAGAAGGGGAAAACACUUGGAAACAGGUGCUAAUACCAUAUACUGAUGGAUGGACCCGCGGUUCAUUAGCUUGUUGGUUAGGUAACGGCUCACCAAGGACACGAUGCAUAGCCGACCUGAGAGGGUGAUCGGCGACAUUGGGACUGAGAAACGGCCCAAACUCCUACGGGAGGCAGAAGUAGGGAAUCUUCGGCAAUGGGCGAAAGUCGGACCGAGCAACGCCGCGUGAGUGAAGAAGGUUUUCGGAUCGUAAAACUCUGUUGUUAGAGAAGCGGUAUCUAACCAGAAAGCCACGGCUAACUACGUGCCAGCAGCCGCGGUAAUAC
rnacentral:rRNA from 1 species